AGGGAGAGGCAGCUCAUGCUGGGUACCAGUCUGUGCCAGGAGCAGACAAGUACCGUCAUGUGUGUUUAUAUUCAUUACAGCUUCACUUGCUUUAACCUGACUCCCAGCAUCUUCAUCACCCUCCCUCUGCGCUUUCACCUCCUCCUCCUCGGUGUCUCCUUCCACUCCUCUCCGCUUCUGCAUCCCCGUGCUUCCCGCUUCACCCUUCGCCUCCUCCCCCGGAGUCUCCUCCCGCAGACCGGCCGGGUUAGGGACCCCCGCAGCGGUCGGACUUUCACGCGAGGUCCCCGGCUCCAUGUGCGGCCUGGAGUUUCCCGAUGUUUUUUGGCGUUAACCCCCCCGGCUUUAGGAGCCCGGUGUCCGCGUUUACACUGCGGUGAAACGGACUGAAUCCAGACCACUAAACAGAGAAAGCAUGUUCGGCUCAGGCACAAACAACAUCAUGUGGCCGAUGCUAACUCGAGCCAGCAUGGAGCUCGCCUGUUCCUCCCGCUGCUCAUGAUGCCAACACCGACUGUGGUACUCAGCCCUGCCCGGCUUUGUUUUAUAUCGAAUUAUCAGUCUAUUCAUACUCAUAUAUCCUUUCUUUAUCUGUAAUGUAUCCAGUAAUAAAUGUAGCCCGCGUGACCAGUGUUACACAUGUUAUAAUUAAAGAGGAGAGGAGGAGAUGAAUGAUCUUUAAUCACAUGAUCUAUCCUUAUAAUCCAGUUUGGCCGUCUUUCCAUUGGCAUUUAAUACAAAUAAGGGUAAAACCAUAGGGUAAAACUGGAGUGAAGCGUUCUUUCUUUCUUUCUUUCUUUCUUUCGUUUAUAGAACGAUUUUUAAAACGUUUAAUGGGAUCAAGCGGCAUGCAACCUCCGGUCUCAAACUAUGAAGCCCAUGAGGGCGUGCUUGAUUAAAACAUACAAAAGAAGAUAAGGAC